rnacentral:rRNA from 1 species
AGUAACCUGCCUUGGAGUGGGGAAUAACAGCUGGAAACAGCUGCUAAUACCGCAUAAUAUAUCUGGGUCGCAUGGCUCUGGAUAUCAAAGAUUUAUCGCUCUGAGAUGGACUCGCGUCUGAUUAGCUGGUUGGCGGGGUAACGGCCCACCAAGGCGACGAUCAGUAGCCGGACUGAGAGGUUGGCCGGCCACAUUGGGACUGAGACACGGCCCAGACUCCUACGGAAGGCAGCAG